GAUGAACGCUGGCGGCGUGCCUAACACAUGCAAGUCGAGCGAACGGACGAGACGUUUGCUUCUCUGAUGUUAGCGGCGGAGGGGUGAGUAACAUGUGGAUAACCUACCUAUAAGACUGGGAUAUUUACGGGACACCGGAGCUAAUACCGGAUAAUCUUUUGAACCGCAUUGUUCAAAAGUGAAAGUCGGUCUUGCUGGCACUUAUAGCUGGAUCCGCGCUGCAUUAGCUAGUUGGUAGGGUAACGGCUUACCAAGGCAAGGAGGCAUAGCCGACCUGAGAGAGGGAUCGGCCACAUUGGAAGUGAGACAGGGACCAGACUCCUACGGGAGGCAGCAGUAGGGAAUCUGACGCAAUGGGCGAAAGCCUGACGGAACAACGGCGCGUGAGUGAUGAAGGUGUUCGGAGCGGAAAGCUCUGUUAUGAGGGAAGAACAGAUGUGUAAGUAACUGUGCACAUCUUGACGGUACCUAAUCAGAAAGCCACGGCUAACUACGUG
rnacentral:rRNA from 1 species